UACGUAGGCAGCAAGCGUUGUUCGGAGUUACUGGGCGUAAAGCGCGUGUAGGCGGCCCGGUAAGUCCGCUGUGAAAGUCGGGGGCUCAACCCUCGAAUGCCGGUGGAUACUGUCGGGCUAGAGUACGGAAGAGGCGAGUGGAAUUCCUGGUGUAGCGGUGAAAUGCGCAGAUAUCAGGAGGAACACCAAUUGCGAAGGCAGCUCGCUGGGACGUCACUGACGCUGAGACGCGAAAGCGUGGGGAGCAAACAGG
rnacentral:rRNA from 1 species